UACGGAGGAUGCAAGCGUUAUCCGGAUUUAUUGGGUUUAAAGGGUGCGCAGGUUGUUUGGUAAGUCAGUGGUGAAAGUCUGUCGCUUAACGACAGGAUUGCCAUUGAUACUGUUAAACUUGAGUAUGGGUGAGGUAUUCGGAAUGUGUAGUGUAGCGGUGAAAUGCAUAGAUAUUACACAGAACACCGAUUGCGAAGGCAGCUUACUAAUCCACCAUUGACGCUGAGGCACGAAAGCGUGGGGAUCAAACAGGAUUAGA
rnacentral:rRNA from 1 species